ensembl:antisense Gm28536 predicted gene 28536
AGACGCGCCCCGAGGCAGACGGCCUCCGCCCCUCUCCCGCCUCAAGUGGACAAAUCCGCUCCACAGCGAACCACGGACUCGGGGCACGCCGACGCCCACACUCACCUGGUGCGCGAAGCCCCGGAGGUGAGCCAUGUCCCCGCUGACGUGACCAGUCCGUCGCAGCCGCUCCGCCCGCUCGCCUCAAGCACCUGCGAGAAACCGCAGGCCGCUCGGUCAACAGUGGCCAGGGGGACCCGUUCCGUGGCGUCCCUCCACCCGCGACCUCCGGUCCCGCGCCCAGGGCCCCCGACCCGCCCUCAGGGCGUGCCCGGCCUCCCCAACAUUCAGGCGAGGCCCGCUGGCAGCGCCCACCUCCGGGCGGCUCCAUCUCGGACUCCGGGCCCGCUUCGCAGUCCCCACGGCGGCUCACACCGCAAUUCGGUCUCCCGGAACGCCCAGGCCUCCCAGCCCGUGAGGUGGAGGCAGCGGCUCUGAGCAGGGCGUCGUGGCGAGCGCGAAGCUCUGUGGGACUAGGAGUCCCGCAGCCCGCCCCGUACCCCGGGCACGCAAAAUUGAGACUACAAGUCCCAGCAGGCUGCGCGGUAGGAUGAGGUGUUACGCAAGUGCUCCGGGGCCCUGAUGGCGACAGACUACAAGUCCCAGGAGAACUUGCGGUGGGCGGUCAGUGGAGAGGCACAAAUGCGCCACAGAUUGGAUCCGAACCUUGAGAUAUGCCCGAGCUGGGCUGCCCCUCCUGUCAGGCCGCGCGGUGACGGGUGCAGCGCGUGCGCAGUUGCCUUGACGUUUUCUAGGCUUUUUUUUCUCUUUUUUUUUCAGCCCUCCUCUCAUUUUCCCAGUUCUGUUUGCCAAGCUUCUGAGACCCAUACUGUGUGCCUGGAGUGCGAACCCACAUUACCCUCAUAUCCUGGUGCUCCAGCUUUAACCGCAGUGUGACCUUCUUGUCUGCGCUUAGCAACACACACACAUAAGGAGUACGCCCACGCGCGCCCUUAGAAAAGUCGCCCAUUGUUGGACAAGUGCUUCUCUCCUGCCUCAGUUUCCCUAUCUGAAAAGGUUUAAUCGUAGGUCCCCAGGACAUGACCUGGCGCUGGGAAGAGUUGUGUGGUCCAGCGGGGAUUUCCAAAGGUUGGAAGAUGCCUUUCAUCCUGUGAAUUCAGUAUGAGUGACUAGUCAGCAAUGUCCACUUCUAUGCAGUCUCCUAGUGUUCCACGGGAGGGAGAUUUGGCUCCAUACUGUGUCCAUUCCUAUGACGGCUCAGUGCAAACCACCAUAAUGUCCCUACUCCCCAACUCAUAAAGGCUUGUUGUUUCUGUU